AUUGAACGCUGGCGGCAGGCCUAACACAUGCAAGUCGAGCGAGCGGCGGACGGGUGAGUAAUGUAUGGGGAUCUGCCCGAUGGCGGGGGAUAACUACUGGAAACGGUAGCUAAUACCGCAUACUAUCAGAUGAACCCAUAUGGGAUUAGCUAGUAGGUGGGGUAACGGCUAACCUAGGCGACGAUCCCUAGCUGGUCUGAGAGGAGGAUCAGCCAAACUGGGACUGAGACACGGCCCCGACUCCUACGGGAGGCAGCAGUUGGGAAUAUUGCACAAUGGGCGCAAGCCUGAUGCAGCCAUGCCGAGUGUAUGAAGAAGGCCUUAGGGUUGUAAAGUACUUUCAGCGGGGAGGCGUUACCCGCAGAAGAAGCACCGGCUAACUCCGUGCCAGCAGCCGCGGUAAUAC
rnacentral:rRNA from 1 species